GCUGCACCUCUCCUAGCCCUCAUUUAAGGGCUGACUGCCAGAAGGAGUUUUCUGACUGCCCCUAAGGAGUUUUCCCUGUGAGCCUAGAUCUUCAGAGAAGGGAACUAACAUUUCAGCCCAUCAUGAAGCACCAAGUUGCUGGCUGGCUCUGUGCAGCCUGGCUUGCAACUCCAACACCUCCCAGCAGGAUGGGCCUCCUCAGUCCCAAACCUGGAGAGUGUCCCAGUAAACGCUGACUGUGGUAGGUGUUCCACUUCUGAGUGGGAAGACCUGAAUGUCAGCUGUCAGUGACUGGUGUUCUGGUCUCAGGCUCCUCUUUUGUCAGUGCCUCCUGUGUGCAUCUUCUUGAGAGGGAUGAAGACAAAAGAGGGCCUACCUUGUGUAGCUGUUGAUGCACUGGAAAGCCAAGAUGCGGCUGGGUAUAUGAUGUGUUUUGGCUGACUUAAUACUUGUAAUCUUUGUGCACUGUUUGUUUUUCAAUAAAGAACAAUGAAACAUUUUUACUUCAAAGUAUGGAUGUUAUGUGAAAUCUCUGUGAUGCAUUCCCUAUUAUUUUUCCUAAAGCGGGAACUUCUUAGUUCCUCUGUUAUGAGCAUUGUCUUUUGACUUCGUUCAUAUAUAACAGGAAG